rnacentral:rRNA from 1 species
UACGUAGGGUGCAAGCGUUAAUCGGAAUUACUGGGCGUAAAGCGUGCGCAGGCGGCUAUGCAAGACAGAUGUGAAAUCCCCGGGCUUAACCUGGGAACUGCAUUUGUGACUGCAUGGCUAGAGUACGGUAGAGGGGGAUGGAAUUCCGCGUGUAGCAGUGAAAUGCGUAGAUAUGCGGAGGAACACCGAUGGCGAAGGCAAUCCCCUGGACCUGUACUGACGCUAAUGCACGAAAGCGUGGGGAGCAAACAGG